CUGUAUCCCAGUAUCUCACAGACGAGGUUACCUGUAUCCCAGUAUCUCACAGACGAGGUUACCUGUAUCCCAGUAUCUCACAGACAAAGUUACCUGUAUCCCAGUAUCUCACAGACGAGGUUACCGAUAUGUUUACCUGUAUCCCAGUAUCUCACAGACGAGACUAACGAUAUGUUUACCUGUAUCCCAGUAUCUCACAGACGAGGUUAACGAUAUGUUACCUGUAUCCCAGUAUCUCACAGACGAGGUUAACGACAUGUUUACCUGUAUCCCAGUAUCUCACAGACGAGGUUAACGACAUGUUUACCUGUAUCCCAGUAUCUCACAGACGAGGUUAACGAUAUGUUUACCUGUAUCCCAGUAUCUCACAGACGAGGUUAACGACAUGUUUACCUGUAUCCCAGUAUCUCACAGACGAGGUUAACGAUAUGUUUACCUGUAUCCCAGUAUCUCACAGACGAGGUUAACGAUAUGUUUACCUGUAUCCCAGUAUCUCACAGACGAGGUUAACGAUAUGUUUACCUGUAUCCCAGUAUCUCACAGACGAGGUUAACGAUAUGUUUACCUGUAUCCCAGUAUCUCACAGACGAGG